rnacentral:rRNA from 1 species
CCUACGGGAGGCAGCAGUAGGGAAUCUUCCGCAAUGGACGAAAGUCUGACGGAGCAACGCCGCGUGAACGAUGAAGGCCUUCGGGUCGUAAAGUUCUGUUGUUAGGGAAGAACAAGUGCUAGUUGAAUAAGCUGGCACCUUGACGGUACCUAACCAGAAAGCCACGGCUAACUACGUGCCAGCAGCCGCGGUAAUACGUAGGUGGCAAGCGUUGUCCGGAAUUAUUGGGCGUAAAGCGCGCGCAGGCGGUUUCUUAAGUCUGAUGUGAAAGCCCCCGGCUCAACCGGGGAGGGUCAUUGGAAACUGGGAAACUUGAGUGCAGAAGAGGAAAGUGGAAUUCCAAGUGUAGCGGUGAAAUGCGUAGAGAUUUGGAGGAACACCAGUGGCGAAGGCGACUUUCUGGUCUGUAACUGACGCUGAGGCGCGAAAGCGUGGGGAGCAAACAGGAUUAGAUACCCUGGUAGUCCACGCUGUAAACGAUGAGUGCUAAGUGUUAGAGGGUUUCCGCCCUUUAGUGUCUGUAAGUUAACGUACAUAAGUACACUCCGCCGUCGGGAGGUACGGUCGGCGAACGACGUAGAACGUACGAAACGGAAAGUUAGUACGGACGUGAGACGUGCCGAACGGACGACCGACGAGGGAGGUAGG